AAGGGCAAGGGUGAAAUUUCCUUACCAAGGGAAAUUUGCUGUUUGCGGGGGACAGAGUGUCCGAGAGAGCCAUAGCAGAGAAUGCGCCAUUGUUAUACUUAGAAGCAAACAAAUAGGACCAGAAGAAGCCGGGCACUUUUGGAGCCAACAAGUUAAUUAGAGACAGGCAGCAGCCUCUCUGUCCAGCAUUUAGAUCUCUGCCAGACUUCCUGGUUCGCUAUUGUGUCUGUGACAGUCCACCUUCAAAGGUGUCUCCAAACUACUGGUAACUGGGAGCCUGCUGGGGGCGGGAGAAGGGAUGGGGGAGGUACUAUUGGUCAGGAACUCUGGCAGAUUUCUGGACUGGGAAAAUUUCUAAAGAGAUUCUGGCAGCCGGGGUGGGUCUGGGGAGGGGGCGUCUCUUUCUCUUUGGUCCCAGAGCUCGGAUAGCUGCCCUUGGACAGACUUACAUAGUCCUGGUUCAUGGGUGAAGGGUUUGCAGCUCCUCGCUUCUUAAGACAGUGUGAGCAAGCCCUUGGCCAGACACUGGGGAAUUCAAGCACACCGGGGCCAUUCCCACAGUCAGAAGCUCGUAGGGGCAGCAGACACAUUCCCAACAUUAGGACCCACAAUCUGGAAAGGCUGGGGAGUUCUCUAGAGGAACAGAGUCUGCUCAAGGGCGCCAGGGAACCGAGCGAGCGCGGACGUUUAGCCAUAUGUACCGCAGGCGCCUGACUAGCUAGGGGGCGGGUUAUCAGGACGACCUAUCUGCCGCAGACACUUAAGCCCGCGGAGUGUUGUUCUCCGCAGUGCCCACAAGGGGGAGGGAUGUCGCGGAAACCUGAGAGCAGAGGCUCAGGGCUGCAGCGAACAUCCAAUGGAACGCAGUUACUCUUCGUGCACCGGUUCCUGCCAAGUGCUUCCACGCCUCACUGCGUUUAAGGAACUGAAAUAUUGGAAACUGCACCAAAGAGAAGCAGAUGCCUGACUUUCACAUCCACCAUCUCAUCUGACCCGACCUCCACCCUAAGUUUCUAGAGAAGAGAGUCCACCUCUCCAAACCGUUCCUUACAGAGCCACAGAUAUUUAGGAAUGUUAUUCGGCGCAUGCACUUGUCACAGGUUAGUUAACCUCCCAGCAGGCUUUGGGGCAGCACCCUGUAAUCAAGCUCAUUUGCAUUAUGCAUGAAAACGUGAAUAUUUACGCUAAGUGAGGUGGAGGGACGACCAGUGACCUCAGUUAAAGAAAAAUCAUCCAGGCUCUGCUCCACUGUGACCUCCGUCCCACCCCGUCGCUCGCGGCGACCUACCUGUUUUGGGCUCUUCGCCCGCGGAGGACAGCGCAAGUCCGGGAUAGCCUCGUAGACAUUCUCCGAGUCGCUACGCGCCAGGGGCCGGGGACAAACCCAGGAGCCCGCCACGCUGGAGGCCUUGAAGUGGCCCGCGCUGCCGAGGAGGCCGGCAGGGGGCGCGGUGCCGCCGCGCGCCAAGUCAUCCAGGGACUGCGCGGGUCGCACCGGCGCUGCGGGCCGCAGGUACAGGCAGGCGGGCCCUCCCGGAGCCAGGCUGUUGCGCUGGCCACUGGUGCGUUGUCGUGCAGGGCCACACAGGGAGCUGGCACGGCCCCGGGGCUCGGCAGAAGACCCAUCGGCACCCACCGGGGUGCUCACGAAGCGGUAGUCGUAGGCCAGAGGCUCCGGGACUGCGGGGCGCUGCUGCAGUACGGAAGGCUGCGGGGCCGGGACAGGGUCACCGAGCGCCGGCAGCUCGCGUACGUACUGAGCCGGGAGGUAGAAGGGGCGACCCCCAGGCUCCCGCCGCACGUGCCACCAGUGCUCGGUGCUGCGGCGCAGCAGUCGGUAACGCUCAUUGGGUUGGAUGGCGAUAAGGCGCCCGUCUUUGCCGGUGUACUCGAAGGGGUGCUCCACCAGCACGUACACGUCCCCCUCGACGUCCGCCGCCAUCGCGGCCACCGCGCUCUCCUGCAGGCAACAAGAAAAGGAGCCGCCAAGGUCAGGACUGCGCAGCCGGGAAGAGCAUCGAGUUCCGGGCUCAAAGACAAGGGUUCGAGUCCCGCUCCUGACGCCCACUGCAUUCGGCUUCAGUUUUUUCUUCUCUGAAAUGGGGACGUGGAUAAAAUCAUCUCCGUAACUCCCA